rnacentral:rRNA from 1 species
CGUUUGACGUUAGCGACAGAAGAAAGCACCGGCUAACUCCGUGCCAGCAGCCGCGGUAAUACGGAGGGUGCGAGCGUUAAUCGGAAUUACUGGGCGUAAAGCGCAUGCAGGUGGUUUGUUAAGUCAGAUGUGAAAGACCCGGGGCGUCAACCUCGGAAUAGCAUUUGUAAACUAGGCAGACUAGAGUACUGUAGAGGGGGGUAGGAAUUUCUAGGUGUAGCGGUGAAAUAGCGUAGAGAUCUGAAGGAAUACCGGUGGCGAAGGCGGCCCCCUCGGACAGAUACUGACACUCAGAUGCGAAAGCGUGGGGAGCAAACAGGAUUAGAUACCCUGGUAG